rnacentral:rRNA from 1 species
GCGUUGUCCGGAAUUAUUGGGCGUAAAGGGCUCGUAGGCGGUCCGUCACGUCGGGAGUGAAAACUCGGGGCUUAACCCCGAGCCUGCUUUCGAUACGGUCGGACUAGAGGUAGGUAGGGGAGAACGGAAUUCCUGGUGUAGCGGUGGAAUGCGCAGAUAUCAGGAGGAACACCGGUGGCGAAGGCGGUUCUCUGGGCCUUACCUGACGCUGAGGAGCGAAAGCGUG